AUUGAACGCUGGCGGCAGGCCUAACACAUGCAAGUCGAACGGUAACAGGAAGAAGCUUGCUUCUUUGCUGACGAGUGGCGGACGGGUGAGUAAUGUCUGGGAAACUGCCUGAUGGAGGGGGAUAACUACUGGAAACGGUAGCUAAUACCGCAUAACGUCGCAAAACCAAAGAGGGGGACCUUCGGGCCUCUUGCCAUCGGAUGUGCCCAGAUGGGAUUAGCUAGUAGGUGGGGUAACGGCUCACCUAGGCGACGAUCCCUAGCUGGUCUGAGAGGAUGACCAGCCACACUGGAACUGAGACACGGUCCAGACUCCUACGGGAGGCAGCAGUGGGGAAUAUUGCACAAUGGGCGCAAGCCUGAUGCAGCCAUGCCGCGUGUAUGAAGAAGGCCUUCGGGUUGUAAAGUACUUUCAGCGGGGAGGAAGGGAGUAAAGUUAAUACCUUUGCUCAUUGACGUUACCCGCAGAAGAAGCACCGGCUAACUCCGUGCCAGCAGCCGCGGUAAUACGGAGGGUGCAAGCGUUAAUCGGAAUUACUGGGCGUAAAGCGCACGCAGGCGGUUUGUUAAGUCAGAUGUGAAAUCCCCGGGCUCAACCUGGGAACUGCAUCUGAUACUGGCAAGCUUGAGUCUCGUAGAGGGGGGUAGAAUUCCAGGUGUAGCGGUGAAAUGCGUAGAGAUCUGGAGGAAUACCGGUGGCGAAGGCGGCCCCCUGGACGAAGACUGACGCUCAGUGCGAAAGCGUGGGGAGCAAACAGG
rnacentral:rRNA from 1 species